UACAGAGGUCUCGAGCGUUAGUCGGAAUCAUUGGGCUUAAAGCGUACGUAGGCGGAUAUGCAGGCGUCGUGUGAAAGCCCUCGGCUCAACCGAGGAAUUGCACGGCGAACCGCAUGUCUUGAGACAAGUAGGGGCUGUCGGAACGAUAGGUGGAGUGGUGAAAUUCGUAGAUAUCGGGAGGAACACCAGUGGCGAAGGCGGCGAUCUGGGUCGAUACUGACGCUGAGGUGCGAAAGCGUGGGGAGCAAACAGG
rnacentral:rRNA from 1 species